UAGCCUUUAGCAACAAAAGUAUUAAAGGUCCUGCCUGCCCAGUGAAGAUUUUUAAACGGCCGCGGUAUUCUAACCGUGCAAAGGUAGCGUAAUCACUUGUCUUCUAAAUAAAGACCAGUAUGAACGGCUAAAUGAGGACAAACCUGUCUCCUACAACUAAUCAGUGAAACUGAUCUUCCAGUUCAAAAGCUGGAAUAUAAACAUUAGACGAGAAGACCCUGUGGAGCUUAAAUUUCACCCAGUACUUACUCUCAACAACUGAUAUAAAUUUAAGUUGGGGCGACUUCGGAACAAAACAAAACUUCCGAGCACAGAACCACCAAUUCCUCCCAAGGCAAACAGGCCAAAGAAAACAACUGACCCAGUCACACUGAUCAACGAACCAAGUUACCCCAGGGAUAACAGCGCCAUCCUCUUCAAGAGUCCAUAUCGACAAGAGGGUUUACGACCUCGAUGUUGGAUCAGGGCACCCCAAUGGUGCAACCGCUAUUAAAGGUUCGUUUGUUCAACGAUUAACAGCC
rnacentral:rRNA from 1 species